rnacentral:lncRNA from 1 species
GCACGGCACAAGAAAAUCUUUUGAUAAAUCAAAAAACUCUAUUUGUCUCUUCGUAAACGUAUGUUUAGUAAUCAUGCUGUCUGAUCUAGGGCCAAAACCGGCACAGGUAUAACCUGCAAUUACCUCAUUACAACACUUAAGGAAUGAGCGAAAUAAUACUUCUGCGUUCAGUAUAAACUUAAGUUAUUUUAACUGGCUCUUCUUCAAGAAUGAGAGGAUGAAUCUGUUUUCUCGGCCAAAUAGUGCUCAAGCAUAUCUUCUUCAUCAUCUGUCCACACCAAAAAAAAACAUGUUAAUUUGAUUCAGAAACAAAUAAACAGAAGAAAACAAGAACAAGAAAAUUGACCUUCAAAAUCAUCAUCAUCAAAAUCAAUAUCAUCCUCGUCUUCAUCAGAUUCUUCAGCAAUAGCUGCCGCAGCUUUCUGUUGACAACCAAAAAAGAAAAGAAAACUGUUUAGCAACGGCCACACAUAACUAUAUUAUGAACCCACAGCCUUGCCUAAGCAGCUUAUACAGUAACAGGACCUCACACCCAACUCGAAGGAGUUACCACUACGUACACCAAACACUUUUGACUUACAAACAUUCAAAAAUGCAGUUGAAUGCAGUAUAAUAUUUAGCGUUUGAAUUAACGUAUGGUCAGGGAACAUUAUAAGCAGCUGGACUAAUCGGAAGGAAAAGGAAAAGGGCACAGCGCAGCACUUUAAUCAUACAGGGUCUUUUCUAUGAGUGUAAAGACCGGGUCGUGACAAUGAGCCCCAUAACCAUAGCCCCCACCUACACCAAAAGGUUUUAA